UACAAAUCACAGCCUUGUAGGAAACUCGCAGGCAAGGAUGACUUUUCAGACUCUACUGAGAAUCCCCACUUUAAAAUAAAAAUGCUACCACUAUACAUUCUUAAAACAUUUCUAUCAAAGACCUGCAUUAUAAUGCCUACUUUAGAGAUGAGGAAACUGAGGCCCAGUUCGCCCUAGGUGCCCAACACAAGUGACAUGGCAACAUGACAAGUUAGGUGACAGACAUAAGAGACUAAAAUAAUGACACUGGGCUCAGCUCUCUGUUCUCAGAAGUGUCUAGCCCAGUGAGGAGAGUCCCUCAUGGAUUAAGAGAACUCUUUUGGUGACAGAACAGAGGUAUGAAUCAAGUCGUAGAGGUAUAGAAGAGACAGAGUCUUCCUACAGUUGGGGUAGAGGAAGGGAGAGGAAUGGAUGAGGUAAAGCUAAAGGAAGCCGAUAUUGGAUUCGACUUUGAAGGAUGAAUAGUGCCAUGUGGACACGUCAGAGGACACAGCAUGUGCCACGACAUGGUGAUAUAAAAACAAAGCAUACUUUUCAGAACUAUGAAUGACUUACGUCUGAAUCAAACAGAAGGAAGACCUCUGCCUCCUAGAGAGAUGAAGACACUAUCAAUGUGCAGCACCACUUGAAUUCUGGGUCAGCAAUAACCCUGCCACCAGACCACAGAUGAUGAUGAAUUCCCUGGAGGCAUUUAACAAGAAUUUCUUCUGUUUGGAGAAUAAGAACACCUGCAAGCCAUGUUCAGUUUACAACUCCAUGGCUGUUCUUUGCCAUUCUUGAGGAGUUUCAUCCU